ACCCACUUCUCCUCGUUCUUCUCCUCUCAGCUCCCAUGAGCGGGAACCACCGGAAAAAAAAAGUGUAGCUCUCUCUCCUUCCUAAUCCCACGGGAAGAAUAAACCGAAACUUCAAUACUUCAUUGUUCUAACCCUACAAGAGAAUCAUUCCCACCUUGUUAUCAAUUGCUUGCUUUUAAAAUACUAAACUGUGUUAACCAACUUAACCCUAAAUACCAUUAUUCUUAUACCUCAAUACCUUGUUCUAACACUACAACAGAAUCUUUCGACUUUCCUCCUGUUCUUCAACGACAACUUGGAUAACGACAACUUGGAUAAUGUGUUACAAACCCUAGGUACUGAAAUAUAAUAGGGGAGUAGAGAAGGAAAAGGAAAAGAAAAUAAGAGAGAAUAAGGUCAGUGGAAGCGGUGGUGGUGGUUAUUCUUCACUUCAUCAGAAAAAGAUGAAUAUUCUAAAAAUUGAUCACGGUAGAGAUGCUCUUCUCUGCUUGCCGAGGAAACGACAGCUGAUACAAAAUUCGUUUUGAUAUGUGAAUCUGGUCCACACAUGUACCUUGAUGCUCCAAUCGCAGAGGUUUGUUUUGAUGUUUAUCACCACAAAAGCUCUUGUGGGUAACCACUCUAGCUAGUCAUUUAUCAGCUUGUUCAAUUUAUACAGAUUAUAUACUUGAGCUUAAACUAAGGAGUUGCUUACACAUUCAAGUACAGAUUCCAAUCUCUUAAUUUUUUAGGGUAUCUUUUGCUGGCUCAAUUUGCUGGGGUUGGAGUCAGCAGACGUUUUUUCGGCAAGCAACUAUUGUCUAAAACCUGUUGUAGAUUUUAUGACAUUUAACUUCUCAAUGUAGGUCAAUAUAAUUAUUGACAUGAUAUUUUGGCAGUUGAUCACAUCAUCAAUUCUGCUGCAAAAUCGAACCACAUGUUUGUUGGUCAGUUAAGUGUGCCAAUUGCUCUCAGAGGACUGAAAGGUGCUGUUGUUGGAGUUGGCGCCCAUCACUCACAGGUAUAUUGAAUUAUUGUGGGACCCCACGUACUUACAGAGAUCACAUGACACUAAAUUUUAUGGAUCAUAUGUGCAACCUGCCAUCUUUGUCUUGCAUUUGAAGUUGGAUUUGAGCUCCUCAAAGUUAUUAGUUAUGGCUACUACGUUAAGAAACUAAAACAAUUGAUCUCUAUUUUAUUAAUCUACUACGUUGUUGGAGUUGGCGCCCAUCACUCACAGGUAUAUUGAAUUAUUGUGGGACCCCACGUACUUACAGAGAUCACAUGACACUAAAUUUUAUGGAUCAUAUGUGCAACCUGCCAUCUUUGUCUUGCAUUUGAAGUUGGAUUUGAGCUCCUCAAAGUUAUUAGUUAUGGCUACUACGUUAAGAAACUAAAACAAUUGAUCUCUAUUUUAUUAAUCUACUAGAAAGAUACUCACAGUUGCAAGAUGUGAAGUUGAUGAAACUGAAGUGGCACAUCAUAUUCAGAUUAAAGCCUCAUCACCUAAGUAACUUUGUGGGAACUAUAAGAAUGUUUUGGGCUUCUAUUGAUACAGUCUUUACUUUCAUAGCUUUUUUACUUCUUUGGCAGCUGUAGCUUUUGUAUCACCCCAAGCUCUAAGUUUUGGGCACAUUUUAGAGUUCUUCUUAUCAGGGGGUGAUUUCUGCCUAAUGAGGUCGUAGGACAAUCACAUCUUUAUUCUCUUAAUAAGCUCGUCUUAUAGUUGAUCUGAAUUUGCUAAGCAAGGUGAUGAAUGCAGGCAUGAACUAUUUCAGCUUUGAAAUGAAUUUCAAACAUUUCAGAACUCUUUCUGAUGCUUCCAACUUCUCUUGUUGCAGGUUUUGGUCGAAUCAGUGACAGAGUGAGUGAGUUUGGAAAAUUGGUGGAUAAGAGACUAUAUUUCUGUGAACACAUCAAAACACCUGAGUAGACCAAUCUGCAAGUACACGAAUGUUACAUCAUCCAUCUGUUUUACUCAUUUCAAUUUUAUUUUGUAGCAUUCAACUUCAACAAUCGUUUGUUGGAAACUCAACACUAGUCUUGAAUUUCUGUUGUGUUAUGUGCUUGAAUGUAUUACAACCUUGUAAUUUUGUUUGAAUGAUCAAACGAUGUUGUUGGAAUGA